AAAACAAUUCAUAAAACCCAUGACUUUCAAAGCCUAGUAUAUGGUGAACCAAUAAACUCUUUAACAACAUUUAAAGAGAAGGUAAGAUUUAGAGUUUCUUUACCCUUGAAGCUCAUCCUUGUUUAUACAAGGGAUUCACCCAAGUGGAGGGCCUUCAAGUCACCUCCUUGCUCCUUGGAUCUUCCUUGUGAUUUUCCUCCUUUUAGUGCUCCUUUGCUUCUUUGAGGAUUUGAGGAUUUGUUCUCCAAAACACCAAAAGUUUGAUGUCUCUAAGUCUCUUCACCAAGGAUGUGAUUGUGAAGAUGAAAUGGAUGACUUAGAGAAGAAUAGAUUGCUAGCUAAAACUCCUCUAAGUGGCCGGCCUCUUUAGAGAAAAUGAGAGAAAGUGUUUCACCUCAUUUCACCAAGAAAAACCCUAAUGAGAAAUAAAGCUAUAAAGUUGAUUUUAUACUUCAUUUCAAGUGAGUGGCAAACUUGUACUUAAUCCAAGUUUGCUACCCUCACCCUUAUGGCCGGCCUUACCUUUGUUAUUGGGCUAAUUUGCCCAUUU
rnacentral:lncRNA from 1 species